rnacentral:snRNA from 1 species
GUGUUCGCUUCAGCAGCACAUAUGCUAAAAUUGGAAUGAUACAGAGAAGAUUAGCAUGGUCCCUGCACAACAAUGACACAUGAAUUCGUGAAACGUGCCAUAUUUUU